rnacentral:lncRNA from 1 species
GUGCCUUUUUAAGUUAAUUGGUUCCUGUUUUGAAUCAGAAAAGGGCCUAUAUAAAUAGAUCUCCUAGGGUUUUAAUAGAAGUUAUUUUUAUUAAUUAAAAACUAGAUCCCUCUUCCUCUCUCCUCUCCAUGCCACACCCUCUCUCUCUUGUCUUUUCAAUGCCCAAGAGUUGAGAAUCCCAUCCUUCUACACACCAAGAGGUGAGAAGUCUUCUUCUACAGUAAGGAACGAGGAGAAAAGGCUAUAGUUCAAAGGUUGAAGUUGCAGCGA